rnacentral:rRNA from 1 species
AGUGAACGCUGGCGGUAGGCCUAACACAUGCGAGUCGAACGGCAGCACAGUAAGAGCUUGCUCUUACGGGUGGCGAGUGGCGGACGGGUGAGGAAUACAUCGGAAUCUACUUUUUCGUGGGGGAUAACGUAGGGAAACUUACGCUAAUACCGCAUACGACCUACGGGUGAAAGCAGGGGAUCUUCUGACCUUGCGCGAUUGAAUGAGCCGAUGUCGGAUUAGCUAGUUGGCGGGGUAAAGGCCCACCAAGGCGACGAUCCGUAGCUGGUCUGAGAGGAUGGUCAGCCACACUGGAACUGAGACACGGUCCAGACUCCUACGGGAGGCAGCAGUGGGGAAUAUUGGACAAUGGGCGCAAGCCUGAUCCAGCCAUACCGCGUGGGUGAAGAAGGCCUUCGGGUUGUAAAGCCCUUUUGUUGGGAAAGAAAAGCAGCAGGUUAAUACCCCGCUGUUCUGACGGUACCCAAAGAAUAAGCACCGGCUAACUUCGUG